AAAUUGAAGAGUUUGAUCAUGGCUCAGAUUGAACGCUGGCGGCAGGCCUAACACAUGCAAGUCGAGCGGUAGCACAGAGAGCUUGCUCUCGGGUGACGAGCGGCGGACGGGUGAGUAAUGUCUGGGAAACUGCCUGAUGGAGGGGGAUAACUACUGGAAACGGUAGCUAAUACCGCAUAACGUCGCAAGACCAAAGUGGGGACCUUCGGGCCUCAUGCCAUCAGAUGUGCCCAGAUGGGAUUAGCUAGUAGGUGGGGUAAUGGCUCACCUAGGCGACGAUCCCUAGCUGGUCUGAGAGGAUGACCAGCCACACUGGAACUGAGACACGGUCCAGACUCCUACGGGAGGCAGCAGUGGGGAAUAUUGCACAAUGGGCGCAAGCCUGAUGCAGCCAUGCCGCGUGUGUGAAGAAGGCCUUCGGGUUGUAAAGCACUUUCAGCGGGGAGGAAGGCGUUAAGGUUAAUAACCUUGGCGAUUGACGUUACCCGCAGAAGAAGCACCGGCUAACUCCGUGCCAGCAGCCGCGGUAAUACGGAGGGUGCAAGCGUUAAUCGGAAUUACUGGGCGUAAAGCGCACGCAGGCGGUCUGUCAAGUCGGAUGUGAAAUCCCCGGGCUCAACCUGGGAACUGCAUUCGAAACUGGCAGGCUAGAGUCUUGUAGAGGGGGGUGGAAUUCCAGGUGUAGCGGUGAAAUGCGUAGAGAUCUGGAGGAAUACCGGUGGCGAAGGCGGCCCCCUGGACAAAGACUGACGCUCAGGUGCGAAAGCGUGGGGAGCAAACAGGAUUAGAUACCCUGGUAGUCCACGCCGUAAACGAUGUCGAUUUGGAGGUUGUGCCCUUGAGGCGUGGCUUCCGGAGCUAACGCGUUAAAUCGACCGCCUGGGGAGUACGGCCGCAAGGUUAAAACUCAAAUGAAUUGACGGGGGCCCGCACAAGCGGUGGAGCAUGUGGUUUAAUUCGAUGCAACGCGAAGAACCUUACCUGGUCUUGACAUCCACAGAACUUUCCAGAGAUGGAUUGGUGCCUUCGGGAACUGUGAGACAGGUGCUGCAUGGCUGUCGUCAGCUCGUGUUGUGAAAUGUUGGGUUAAGUCCCGCAACGAGCGCAACCCUUAUCCUUUGUUGCCAGCGGUUAGGCCGGGAACUCAAAGGAGACUGCCAGUGAUAAACUGGAGGAAGGUGGGGAUGACGUCAAGUCAUCAUGGCCCACGACCGUGGCUACACACGUGCUACAAUGGCAUAUACAAAGAGAAGCGACCUCGCGAGAGCAAGCGGACCUCAUAAAGUAUGUCGUAGUCCGGAUUGGAGUCUGCAACUCGACUCCAUGAAGUCGGAAUCGCUAGUAAUCGUAGAUCAGAAUGCUACGGUGAAUACGUUCCCGGGCCUUGUACACACCGCCCGUCACACCAUGGGAGUGGGUUGCAAAAGAAGUAGGUAGCUUAACCUUCGGGAGGGCGCUUACCACUUUGUGAUUCAUGACUGGGGUGAAGUCGUAACAAGGUAACCGUAGGGGAACCUGCGGUUGGAUCACCUCCUUACCUUAAAGAA
rnacentral:rRNA from 1 species